rnacentral:rRNA from 1 species
UACAGAGGUCCCAAGCGUUGUUCGGAUUCAUUGGGCGUAAAGGGUGCGUAGGUGGCGGGGUAAGUUGGAUGUGAAAUCCUGGGGCUCAACCCUAGAACUGCAUUCAAUACUGCCUUGCUGGAGUACUGGAGAGGAGAUUGGAAUUUACGGUGUAGCAGUGAAAUGCGUAGAUAUCGUAAGGAAGACCGGUGGCGAAGGCGGAUCUCUGGACAGUUACUGACACUGAGGCGCGAAGGCCAGGGGGAGCA